CUCUUUUUUUUUUUUUUUUUUUUUGAGAUGGAAUCUCACUCUGUCGCCCAGGCUGGAGUGCAGUGACGUGAUCUCGGCUCACCGCAACCUCUGCCUCCCGGAUUCAAACAAUUCUUCUGCCUCAGCUUCCCACGUAGCUUGGAUUACAGACAGAAGUUUCUGCCCUUAGCAAAAGCUGCAAGUGCAGGAGGACCUGACCUCCCCAGUCUUCCUUUGAUCUCAGGUUUUCUUCCUGCACUGUCUGAGCUGACUGUUCCCAAAGGACACUUGGCUGGGUACAUUGGUGUUCAUAAGUGCCUCCUAUAAAGAAGCCUGGAGCCUCACUCAACCAACCAUUUUGCAGAAAAGUAAACUCAGACCCAGGCUUACCAAAAGAUGCAUGGCUAGAAAAGAAUGGAGUUGGAACGAGGGCCCCACUCUUGAGAUUCCCAGGGGAGGCCUUUGCUGUCUCAUUCAGCUUCCUUGGGAAAGAGGUCAGAUCAACCUUGAGCAGGGAGUGGCUGGCAGCAGCCUCAGCCUCAGGCAGGUGCCAGUCUAUCCCCACAAAACAGAGGGAUGUCUCCAAGGAGGAGUCCGCACUGAUGACCAGCCUGAGGGCAUCAGAUAUAGGCUGUCUUCCACCUGGCAUGGAACUGCUGCUGGCUCUUCUGCCUCCCAAGGCCUGAGACACGAUUGCCUGGAUUACUCCAUGGAGCCGGGGCCUGUGCAGACCCUCAAGAGAGGUCUUUUGCACCCAACCUGUUGGGCAGCUGCCCUGGUGCCCUCAAGGUGCCCCCCUUUCUGUGCCCACCUCAUCUUUGGGGCCUCACAGUGAGGAUGUGGCCAGUGACAGGGGCUGGGGAAGAUACACCAGGGUAGAGAGGUGGACACUCCGGGCUUCUGGUUAUGAUGAUGAUGAUAGCCAGACUGGUGAUUCCCAAACUGGAGGGUCCUUGGGAUCUUCUGACAAGGCAAAAAGUCCAGCAUGCCAUAUCCACCGACUCCUGAGUCAGAUACCUGGAAAGAACCUGAGGUUAUCUAUG